rnacentral:rRNA from 1 species
AAGGUUAAGGGAGGAGGUUAGCGUAAGCGAAGCUCUUGAUCGAAGCCCCAGUAAACGGCGGCCGUAACUAUAACGGUCCUAAGGUAGCGAAAUUCCUUGUCGGGUAAGUUCCGACCUGCACGAAUGGCAUAAUGAUGGCAGCGCUGUCUCCAGCAGAGACUCAGUGAAAUCGAAAUCGCAGUGAAGAUGCUGUGUACCCGCGGCUAGACGGAAAGACCCCGUGAACCUUUACUACAGCUUUACAUUGAACUUUGACCUAACUUGUGUAGGAUAGGUGGGAGGCUUUGAAGCAGAUACGCCAGUAUUUGUGGAGCCAACCUUGAAAUACCACCCUGGUUAUGUUGGGGUUCUAACUUAGGAUUAACAAAUCCAAGGACAAUGUAUGGUGGGUAGUUUGACUGGGGCGGUCUCCUCCUAAAGAGUAACGGAGGAGUACGAAGGUGCGCUCAGAACGGUCGGAAAUCGUUCAAAGAGUAUAAAGGCAAAAGCGCGCUUAACUGCGAGACCCACAAGUCGAGCAGGUACGAAAGUAGGUCUUAGUGAUCCGGUGGUUCUGUAUGGAAGGGCCAUCGCUCAACGGAUAAAAGGUACUCUGGGGAUAACAGGCUGAUACCGCCCAAGAGUUCAUAUCGACGGCGGUGUUUGGCACCUCGAUGUCGGCUCAUCUCAUCCUGGGGCUGAAGCAGGUCCCAAGGGUAUGGCUGUUCGCCAUUUAAAGAGGUACGCGAGCUGGGUUUAGAACGUCGUGAGACAGUUCGGUCCCUAUCUACCGUGGGCGUUGGAAAUUUGAGAGGAUCUGCUCCUAGUACGAGAGGACCAGAGUGGACGAACCUCUGGUGUUUCGGUUGUCACGCCAGUGGCAUUGCCGAGUAGCUACGUUCGGAUGGGAUAACCGCUGAAAGCAUCUAAGCGGGAAGCCCACCUCAAGAUAAGAUUUCCCUAAGAGCCGUUGUAGACUACGACGUUGAUAGGUUGGGUGUGGAAGUGUAGUGAUACAUGUAGCUAACCAAUACUAAUUGCUCGUUUGGCUUGACCAU